rnacentral:rRNA from 1 species
UACAGAGGUCUCAAGCGUUGUUCGGAUUCAUUGGGCGUAAAGGGUGCGUAGGCGGCGCGGUAAGUCGGGUGUGAAAUCUCGGAGCUUAACUCCGAAACUGCAUUCGAUACUGCCGUGCUUGAGGACUGGAGAGGAGACUGGAAUUUACGGUGUAGCGGUGAAAUGCGUAGAGAUCGUAAGGAAGACCAGUGGCGAAGGCGGGUUGCUGGGCCGACACUGACGCUGAAGCGCGAAAGCGAGGGGAGCGAACGGG